GGGGGGCCGCACUUUCGCCGCAUAAAUUUGCCGAUUUCCGCGCAAAAUAUCGCAGGGCUUGCAUGAUUUCAUAAUCCCCGCAUUUGUGUUGCAAAAAAAAGUCACAUAAUGUACAGCACAGGCCGGG